rnacentral:tRNA from 1 species
CAAAGUGUAGGCUUAAAUAUAAAGCAUCUAGUUUACACCUAGAAGAUCUCAUAUAAACUUGACCACUUUGA